CCCGUCACACCAUGGAAGUCUGCAAUGCCCGAAGCCGGUGGCCUAACCACUUAUGUGGAAGGAGCCGUCUAAGGCAGGGCAGAUGACUGGGGUGAAGUCGUAACAAGGUAGC
rnacentral:rRNA from 1 species